rnacentral:rRNA from 1 species
UACGGGGGGGGCUAGCGUUGUUCGGAAUUACUGGGCGUAAAGCGCGCGCAGGCGGCCUCGCGCGCCCGACGUGAAAGCCCCCGGCUUAACCGGGGAGAGUCGUUGGGGACGGCGGGGCUUGAGGGCGGGAGAGGGUGGUGGAAUUCCCGGUGUAGUGGUGAAAUGCGUAGAGAUCGGGAGGAACACCCGUGGCGAAGGCGGCCACCUGGGCCGACCCUGACGCUGAGGCGCGAAGGCGUGGGGAGCGAACGGG